CUUGACUGUAGCUUGAAAUUGGGUUCGGGCUCUUCUUGCGCAGCCUAGGUGGGAGGCGUUGAAAGUUUUCUUUUGGGAAAACCGGAGCCAACAUUGAGAGACCACUCUGGAAGAGCUAGAAUUCUAAUGGCGUUCCUUGAAGCAGGACGCUUGACAGUUUCAGGUGGGCAGUUUGACUGGGGCGGUCACCUCCUAAAAGGUAACGGAGGUGUGCAAAGGUUCCCUCAGGCUGGACGGAAAUCAGCCGUAGAGUGUAAAGGCAGAAGGGAGCUUGACUGCAAGACCUACAAGUCGAGCAGGGGCGAAAGCCGGCCUUAGUGAUCCGACGGUUCCAUGUGGAAGGGCCGUCGCUCAACGGAUAAAAGUUA
rnacentral:rRNA from 1 species